rnacentral:rRNA from 1 species
AUUGAACGCUGGCGGCAGGCUUAACACAUGCAAGUCGAGCGGAUGAAGGGAGCUUGCUCCUGGAUUCAGCGGCGGACGGGUGAGUAAUGCCUAGGAAUCUGCCUGGUAGUGGGGGAUAACGUCCGGAAACGGGCGCUAAUAACGCAUACGUCCUGAGGGAGCAAGUGGGGGGUCUUCGGACCUCUCGCUCUCAGAUGAGCCUAGGUCGGAUUAGCUAGUUGGUGGGGUAAAGGCCUACCAAGGCGACGAUCCGUAGCUGGUCUGCGUGGAUGAUCAGUCACAUUAGAGCGGAAACAGGGACCUUGCGCCUGCGGUAGGGAGCAGUGUGGAACAUUAGACAGUGGGCGAGAAUCUUGUCCAACGGUGCCGCGUGUGUGGAGGAGGUCUUCGGAGUGGGAAGCACUUUAAGGUGGGAGAAAGGGCAGUAAGUUGAUACCUUGCGGUAGUGACGUUACCAACAAAAGAAGCACCGGCUAACUUCGUG